rnacentral:lncRNA from 1 species
GAUGUGCAACUAAUUCCUUAAUAUAAGUAAAUUGCUGGUGAAACGUGCUGGGCUAGGAAGCUUGAAAUUGUCUCAGAAUGAGCAGUAUGGCUUCAUCCUUAUGUCAGGGAAUCAAAGGAUAAAUCCAGCUUUCCAGUGUGUGGAAGGGAGAAAUUAGGACUGGUUUUGAACUAUUGCAUGGUCUGACAUUCUGUAGAGUGGAAGUGAAUGGGAUUAAUGUCUGCUAUUCCUGAAAUACAGCCACUUCCGAGAUGAAAUACAGUAUGUAUUUCAUAGUUCAAAUGAGUACAAUCAGAUCUUCAGGAAAGGAAGUGGAGGGAAACUCCUCAGCUGAAACCACAGAGGGAAUUAACCAAAUUGGGAUGUGGAUAGAGCAUUGCAGCUCCUACUUAAAAUUAAAUGCUCUUUGGUUGUUUCUGAAGACCACAGUAACAUUAAUUACUGCCAUUAGAAAUUUUGCCAUUACCUCUUACAUAAAUACUUUCUUCCAAGAAUCUACAAAUCUCUUUAUAAAGGGGGUCUUAUCUUUAUCUCUGUUUUACAGGUGUGAAAAUGAGGAACAGAAAUUGAACAUCAUCCAAGAGUGGCAUAACUGGAAAUCAAAAUCCACAUCUGCUUCGUCAUGGCCUCGGUGUAGGGAUUGCCUGGCCACACAUCCGAACAAUGCCUUCUGAGCCAGCCAUGAGAUUUUCCUGCAGGAAAUGAAGAACUGGAUGUGCAGACACUGCUGUCCCUCAAGCAAGAGGCCCUUUCUGUUUGCCCUCACUCAUUUGUCAUCCCAUGACCUGCACUGCAGGCAGAAGGGAAGAAAACUCUUGGGCUGGUUCAAAGUUGGUGUUUCUAUCCGAAAUCCAGAAAUAGAUACUGUAAAUAACACUCGUGACGCAGUCCUUUAGUGCUGCAGAGAAAGACUAUGCUGUAAUUACUUCCAGUGGGACAGAAAAUCUGUUAGUGCUUGUAUGCUGUAAGAGGGAAGGAGAACGUGUGUGCCCACCACCCCUUUGCCAGGUUGGGCUUUGCUCGAGGUGUUAUAGCUACUGCCCUACCCCAUGCUCCCAACCCUUGGUUCUGCACCCAUCUUGUGGAUUGCUGAAACAGGAGUGAAAAUGAGACCGCACAGAAGGAGCCCUUGAAUACGUGCCUAUCUCCGUAUCAGCACCCGCUUGGAGUAACACAAGAGGUACAAAGAAUGUCCUGCAGGCAGAGAGAGACUGCAGCUAUUUCACGUGGACAGGGGAGAUAAUCAGUGAAUUGAUGUUCCUUGUGGAAUGGACUUAGGCACUUACAGAAAUCUACACUUGGAUGAUUUUUUUGUUUAUUUUUGAAUAUUUCCUGACAGCUGGUGCUGGAAUUUUUGUUCUCUGUCGAGUAAACCCCUCUCAUUGCCCUUGUUAGAUACAAGCAGAUGAACCGUGCAGCUAGCAGGCAGCAUGCAGAGCAUGUGGGGGGGAAACUGCCCCUUACCAGAUGUGCUGUUAUAGGCUGGAGUUGUAAAAAUAAAUAAAAUAAAAAAAUAUAUUAAUAAUAAAGUCUCAGAGAUUGAACAGGGGAGUGUAGUAAUGAUCUCUAGCUUGAGUCCCUCCUGCUGUGUCUGGCAGGCCCUCCAGAGCUCAAAUAGCAUCGUCCACCCUCACUUUAAAUGUCUGGAAUUACACGCCACAGUGUCUGAACUUGUAAGAGCAAGGAGUUGCAGUGAGGUCUGAGCACACGGGUGUGAGUGCUUUCCUUAAUCAUGGAAAUGACCCCCUUGAUCCCUCCCCAAGGUACUGUGCUGUGACCCCACAGCUCAGAGAAGCCAACCUGGAGCUGUCCUCCCAUAGGAACCUGAGGACACUCCAACAGCUUGGUCACAGACUUCCCCAGUUGGCUGAGAGUUGCUUGAGCUGAGAGGCAUAAAACAAAUCAGCAAACUGAAAUGAUGCAUCCAACCCCCCUGCUCCUAGCAGCUCUCCUUGCUGCCACACCAUGCUGUAAACUUCACUGUAAUUUGCUGUCCACUAACUGCACAAACCGUCCUUCGGUUAUUAACUUUCUCCCUUGCUGCACUUGUUUCCUAUUACUGUGCUCUCUCACACUUAAGUGUUUCAUUACUUUCUGUUCUUUUUCCUGAACUCGCCUGUGUCUGGCAGAGAUUCCCACUGCUUUCCCUGCCCCAAUCUUCAGCCUCAGCUGAGCAAAGCAGCCCCUGGCACCCGUGUCCUCUGGGAGCAGGAGGGUGCCGGAGCAGAUCCUGCACCCUCCUGCCUCCAGCAGGCUUUGUAAGUCCAAAGUUCAUCUUGAUUUUUUUUAGAGAAUCAGGCUUUACUCACGUCACUUGCUCCUGCAUGGGUGCUGUUUGAUAUCCUGGAGUGCCCCAGGUACUCUCUCAAGCCAUCUUCCCACAUUUUCCCUCAUUGCAGAGGACCCGGCAUACCAACCCGGCUUUCCCCACGCCGGGAUCAGUGUGACUUGCCUCCUCCUGUUUUGUGGAAACUCCCUCAGAAGGCUUUCUUCAUGGCCACUGGACGAGCCAGUCUAUUCCUCCUCCCACUCACGGGCGGACAAACUCCUGUGGGCAACUCGAGCAGAAGGAAACUCCCAGCAUUUCCUCCUUGUCUU